rnacentral:rRNA from 1 species
AACGAACGCUGGCGGCAUGCCUAACACAUGCAGGUCGAACGAGACCUUCGGGUCUAGUGGCGCACGGGUGCGUAACGCGUGGGAACCUGCCCUUAGGUUCGGAAUAACUCCCCGAAAGGGGUGCUAAUACCGGAUAAUGUCUUCGGACCAAAGAUUUAUCGCCUUUGGAUGGGCCCGCGUUGGAUUAGCUAGUUGGUAGGGUAAAAGCCUACCAAGGCGACGAUCCAUAGCUGGUCUGAGAGGAUGAUCAGCCACACUGGGACUGAGACACGGCCCAGACUCCUACGAGAGGCAGCAGUGGGGAAUAUUGGACAAUGGGCGAAAGCCUGAUCCAGCAAUGCCGCGUGAGUGAUGAAGGCCUUAGGGUUGUAAAGCUCUUUUACCCGGGAUGAUAAUGACAGUACCGGGAGAAUAAGCUCCGGCUAACUCCGUG